rnacentral:rRNA from 1 species
CUUGCUCUUAUGAAGUUAGCGGCGGACGGGUGAGUAACACGUGGGUAACCUGCCCAUAAGACUGGGAUAACUCCGGGAAACCGGGGCUAAUACCGGAUAACAUUUUGAACUGCAUGGUUCGAAAUUGAAAGGCGGCUUCGGCUGUCACUUAUGGAUGGACCCGCGUCGCAUUAGCUAGUUGGUGAGGUAACGGCUCACCAAGGCAACGAUGCGUAGCCGACCUGAGAGGGUGAUCGGCCACACUGGGACUGAGACACGGCCCAGACUCCUACGGGAGGCAGCAGUAGGGAAUCUUCCGCAAUGGACGAAAGUCUGACGGAGCAACGCCGCGUGAGUGAUGAAGGCUUUCGGGUCGUAAAACUCUGUUGUUAGGGAAGAACAAGUGCUAGUUGAAUAAGCUGGCACCUUGACGGUACCUAACCAGAAAGCCACGGCUAACUACGUGCCAGCAGCCGCGGUAAUACGUAGGUGGCAAGCGUUAUCCGGAAUUAUUGGGCGUAAAGCGCGCGCAGGUGGUUUCUUAAGUCUGAUGUGAAAGCCCACGGCUCAACCGUGGAGGGUCAUUGGAAACUGGGAGACUUGAGUGCAGAAGAGGAAAGUGGAAUUCCAUGUGUA